rnacentral:rRNA from 1 species
GGGUGAGAAUCCCGUCUGUGACCGGUGACCGAUCCCAUGCGAAACCCCUUCGACGAGUCGAGUUGUUUGGGAAUGCAGCUCAAAAUGGGUGGUAAAUUUCAUCUAAAGCUAAAUACUGGCUGGAGACCGAUAGCGCACAAGUAGAGUGAUCGAAAGAUGAAAAGCACUUUGGAAAGAGAGUCAAAAAGUACGUGAAAUUGUUGAAAGGGAAGCGCUUGCAACCAGACCUGUCCGUGGGUGAUCAGCCGCCGUUCUCGGUGGUGCACUCGCCUACGAUCAGGCCAGCAUCGGUUCGGGCGGUCGGACAAAGGCCUUGGGAAUGUAGCUCCUCUCGGGGAGUCUUAUAGCCCUCGGUGCAAUGCGGCCAGCCCGGACCGAGGACCGCGCUUCGGCUAGGAUGCUGGCGUAAUGGUUGUAAGCGACCCGUCUUGAAACACGGACCAAGGAGUCUAACAUCUAUGCGAGUGUUUGGGUGUUAAACCCAUACGCGGAAUGAAAGUGAACGGAGGUGAGAACCCUUUAGGGCGCAUCAUCGACCGAUCCAGAUGUCUUCGGAUGGAUUUGAGUAUGAGCAUAGCUGUUGGGACCCGAAAGAUGGUGAACUAUGCCUGAAUAGGGUGAAGCCAGAGGAAACUCUGGUGGAGGCUCGCAGC